CUGUGUUCACUGACAGACCUUAAAUAAUACUCUGUGCUUCUUCUGGUUUGCAGUAGGAGGCAAAAGAAAAAAGUCUCUGCACUUUCUAUCUGGUCUUUGUGGUGGCCCAGAAUAAGUAGGGAAACAUAU
rnacentral:snoRNA from 1 species